CCAACUUACUCAAGAAGUUAGCCCGGUGUAAGAAAUGAGGGGAUUAGGACAGCAAGUGGUUAAUUAUGGGAAUUGAGUGAACCACACUGACUCCAUCUUGUGACUCAGUUCUGGAGCUAGCUUAGUUCCCUUUCUAUUCAAUUAUGGGCCUAAUCCUAAUUCUAUCUUGCCACAAAACUUUAUUCAAUUGUGGGAACUGGGAGAAGACCUUAUUGCAUUGUCUGAACUUAGGCUUGUGGCUAGAAAACUGGACCACCUCUGCCUGCUGUUUAGAGACCGAAGUUAUACUGACCAGAAACCCAGACACAUCCCAAGAUAGAUGUCUGGGUAUCCUGACUGUCCUCCCUUCUUCUGCUUCCCACACUAAAGCCUGCUGGAAUUUCCUUUGUCCCCUCCUUCCCCGAACACCCGGGGUUAAGGAGGAAAGAGUCAUUCUGAAUGGCGAUUUUACUGAUCUCCUGGUGGGUCUGCGUUAUUAAACAAGUUCAACAAUCCUUAAAAAAUCUUCCAGCUUACCCUGGCUGAUCUUUGCAAGGGAAGCAAAACGCGUCAGCCCCGGGGAGUCCUGGAAGCCCAUUUGUGAUCCCGGGGUGGGGGUGGGGGUGGGGGUGCUGAUUUUCUGUGGUCCUGGGCCCUGCAGACAGAGGGAGCCAGCCCGUGGCACAGCACAUUGGGGAGCGUUUGAAGGUUGGGCCGGAGGGGCCAGCGUUUGCGCCCUCUCCCAUUAGGAUUCAAGCGUAGCUUCCUGUUACCCUCAAAAAGGUGGAAACCGAAGGUUCAACGUGGGCAAGUGAAGACAAUUUGAGCUUUGGGGGCUCUAGGCCUUUCCCCAGUGGCUUGCCCACGUCACUGCCAUUAAAGCACACACUCACCCUUCCCCAAGCCAUCUGUGACUCUAGGAGACCUCUAAGAUGUCACUGGACGUUCUCAUCUCAGUCAGUCUGAGUACCUGGACUCAGGAAUGCCUCUUCAUUCAUUGGUGGGAGCGGAUUCAGUUUCUUCUCUCCUGGCUCUAGAAUGGCUAUACCUUUGCUGGCACGAAGUCAGUGAGAGGUAUGUCUGGAAUUGGUAAGUCUUUCUUGCUUCAUAUUUAUUUUCAGUGUUAAAGUGGAUUCAUUUUGGCGGCAACUGGGUGGCUCAGUGGAUUGAGAGCCAGGCCUAGAGGCCCGAGAAGGUCCUGGGUUCAAAUCUAUCCUCAGAUACUUCCUAGCUGUGUGACCCUGGGCAAGUCACUUGACCCCCAUUGCCUAGCUCUUACCUCUCUUCUGCCUUGGAACCAAUACACAGUAUUGAGGCUAAGAUGGAAGGUAAGGGUUUAAAAAAAGGGGGGGAUUUAUCUUUAGAGAAGCAAAUUUUAAAUAUAAAAGCCAAAUAUAUCAUAUAGUACAGGAAUCAUUUGAUGGCAUUUAGAUUUGGAAGAGUGGGGUUUGCAUUCUAGACUCUAUGACUUUCAAGCACUGUGGCCUCAGGUAAGCCCCUUCCCUUUUUAGGUCCUCAGUUUUCCUAUCUGUGUAAUGGGGGAUCCUCUUCCUUUCACCCUGAGCCAACAGGAAGCCCAGAGUGAAUGAAAAGAGGAUCUCUCCAUUAGCAUGGGCAGAGGGCUUCCCUUCCUGGAAGGAGCUAGGAAGCUGGCUUCCAGGAGAGCAGUGAGGAAAUGUAAUAGAAAGGCCUUGGAGAGAUCUUUGGGGUGCCCAGGUGUCCCGAGACUGGUUCCAUCUGCUGACCACAGGCUGAAGAACCUCUUUGCCCCGCAGCAGUUCUGAAGCUGGAACUGGUGUCUGUUCCAAAGGCUCUUCCUCUUCAUGCUCCUCUUGGCUUGAUUUCGUCCCACUGGUGGCAUUCUGUUGAGAGAAGACACACUCUCCCAUGAAGGAACCGGCCGGGUCUUGUCCCCAGCUGGGCCUGACUCAGGCCAGACCCCUGGUUAUUUAGUUUCAAUCUUGGAACAAAAUGAGGAGCUUGUAGGUCAUUCAAACGUUAAUAAACAAAACAAAACAAAACA
ensembl:lncRNA